rnacentral:sRNA from 2 species
UUAUAGCCCCGAUUGAAGGGAAAAUCCUUUUUCUUUUUUUUCUAAAAAAAAAGAAAAAGAUUGGAAUGAAAGCGGGACCGGUU